UGCAAGCGACCGUGUUUGGUGGCUCGGGAGGUCGGAGGAGGUGAUGAAGGCAGGUGCAGGAGAGGGAACAUUCUAAAAGAGUUGUGACGUUUGUGUUUCAAGAGGUAAACCAGAGUCAGGCUGGAGAUUCUGAGGUUGAUGGAAUGAAAAAUUGGAAGUUACCAAGCUUUAAAUGGAGGAGGAACAUGUUGACGAUGGUAUUUAAAGAAACUUGGAUGGUUGAGGCAAGAAGGUUUGGCCGUUUGGAGACUGGUUAGGGUGUGGGUGAGGCAGUGGGAGAAGCAGGGAUGGAGGAGGCAAGUGGAAGGAGCCUUCGGCCUCUGAGCUUCAUUUUCCCCAGAUAGAAAAUGAGAUUGUAUUUUAAAUUAUGGCCGUGAGGGAUAAAUGGAUGAAUACAUGCGGAAGGUCCAACAUUAUGAAUUAGCACCAAGAAGGCACUCGGAUGUCAUUGAAUUUGCUUUUGAUGAACAGGAGGAUUGAGGUUACUGGUCAAUAGACUGGAAAAUGGGGAAGAGACCUGAGUCUAGGAGGAGGGCAGUGGGUGGUGAAGAACCUGGCAAACAGUUCUGCCUUAUGUUAAGGUUAGUUACUUCAGAUCUGUCCACUGAUAAAAAACAAAAUAUUCCUUGUCCUCAAAAAUCAACUCUCGUUGGAGAGCUUACCAAAUUAUGGCAGCCCUGAGCUGAGUGGCGCAGCCCGAUUAUUCGACACUGGAGUAGAAGAAGUACAUUACAAGGCAAAUCCACAUUUAACUUUUUAUGUAGCAUCUAGUACUUAAGAGCAUCAUCCAUUUGAGCUUGGAAGACACCUUUUUUCAAUUCUACAUACUGAUUACAAAAGCGCUCUAAGGUCCAACUUGAUCCCGCUGUAAAAGGAGGUCUCAGCCAGGCUCUCACCAAAAGAAAUUGCUAAUUGGGAAGCAGCGCCACCUGGUGGGGGACGAGGACAAUGCAAGCAAGCAGAUGUUCUUUCUCACUGACCUAAUUUAGAGAAAAUUGAACGUAAGACAGAAAACAUUUGAGAUCGUAAGCCUGUGCCCCAAACCUUAAAGAACGCAGGCAGCUGGCCAUAAAAGUAAUUUGAGCCA